GAGCUGUGAUGAGUAGUGCGCUCUCGCGAUGAAUUGGGUCAUCACAACCUUCAGAUCUUCGGAUGUGAAGUGUGAUACGCGCUGCUGAGCUU
rfam:Gossypium hirsutum cultivar TM-1 chromosome 14, whole genome shotgun sequence